CCUGAGAAACCCAAAAGAUCGAAUGGGGAGAUUCAUCGUCAGCUCAUUUUGUAUAUGUAUGAGUUACGAUGCGGGUUACUACUUGUAGUAUUGCCUGCACGUUCUUAUAUAUUUAGUUGCAAGAUGUUGUCGGCGUGCACUUCUCCCCUAGUAGAACGUCGCGACCCGUUGGGUGUCGGUCUACGGCCCAAGUGGUAGUCUUUAAUGUUUAAAAACAUUGAAGACCCUUGGUGUUUUCUGACCGGCUACUCGGCGGUACUCGUACGGUAUUAAGCCGCAUAUUAUUAUGCGUCCAUGCCCGUCGCAAGCGAGGCCAAUUUCUGGUAGUACGGACCUAGUGCCGUCGCUGGUAUUGGCCAGCUGUUGGUUGUUACGGUGUUCUAGGACUGGGUAAAAUUAUUACCGGUCGGCGACGCUACUGCUAUGGGUACUUUCAGG
rnacentral:rRNA from 1 species